UGUAGUGUGGCCGCGCUCCAAGCAACGG
rnacentral:miRNA from 1 species